ACUCUGAAGUUCCGCGAUCUUCUCUUUGUGGGCGGGCGGAUGGAUCAACGCCGCCAAGUGGGAAAGGUCUGAGGAUUGCGUCAUUAGGCGAUUUUGUUGCUGUGCGAACACCAUAGAAUGUACUUUCACGACCUAGAUGGUAGAGCCUGGCCACACCUCGGCUGUGUGGUGUGGCCUGUUGCUUCCAGGCUGCAAACCUGACAGCAUGGGGCGAUACUGAAUACCGCAGACCAUUGUAAUUCAUGGGGAAAGCACGAACACAGUCCCCCACUACAACAAAUUAUGCAGUCGAGUUUUCCACAUUUGGGGAUAUCGCAGGGGUCAGCACAUCCGGAGUGCAAUCGAUGAGCCUCACACUGGGAAAAACCACCUUCGUGAUCAUGAUAUCUUCCCUGCCAGCAACCUAAUCACAGAGCCUCCCAGCCUGAUGCUACAAAGAGCCGCAUGCUGCCAGUUUCCUUGUGGGCAGGGACCUAUGUAUUAUAAUGGUGAAUAUAUUUAUACUUGAAUCCACAGAGAAGACACAGUAGACUAGUCAUACCAUUGUGAGUAGUACUCAGAUUCUUUCUUGACCCCCCAUCAUCCAAAAAUAUACCUUUCCAGUGUGGCAGUCUUGAACUUUUCCAAAUUCAGCUGCUGUUGGAGCUCUUCUGUUUUUCCCAGGGAAGGCCGGAGAACUGUAUUUCUGGCCAGAGCUGCUGCAGAAGGUCUCUGUUCAGCAUCAGGGUGGAUCAUGUUCUGAAGAUAUAGGACCAAGAGGAAAGAAACAGAAGCUUCACUAUUGGGAAAAAUCUUCCCAUUCAAGCCAACUCCAACCCAGCUUCUCCUGGUGGAUUUUAGAGAAACCAAUCAGCUUCAUUUUCAACUUCUUCUAUGACUCCAGAGGAUUCACUUUGCAUCUUGUGACAAAUGAAGAUAUUACCUGGAAAAAAAAAAAAGACAGGAUAGAUAUUGAAGAAAUAAUUUUUUAUAGGACUCUGGAGUGAAGGGAUUAAUAUUGACCAGAGCCAAUGAGGUCAUCUCAUCCUUGAGGGGUGCAGGUGUGAGCUUCAAAUGCUUAGGGCCUCUGGAAGGAAGCUUCCCUGUUGGAGAAAUCGCCAACCGGCUCAGCAUGCUCUGAAUGAGGAUGACAAAAGGAGUUGCUGCACAGGGGGAAAGCGAAGUUCCCAGGAGUAAGAUGUGCAAGAAGGAGGCAGUCUUGCAUCUCAGGGCUGAUUCCCUAAACUCUGUGCUUGAGGGAAGUUCUCCCCUUGCAGACACACUGCUGAGUGACAAGGAAGCGCCUAGACUCCACUCUGACCAGACUUGGUUCUGAGGCCUAUGAAAUGUUGAUGGGAAGAACAGAAGCAGGAAAAUCUAUCUAUUCAAAUUUGCAAGAGGUGGAAACUUUUAUUCACCUUCCUGGAUAGACUGUUCCUUUGUCAAAGUAAAGCUAAGGCCAUGGAAAAUGAGCUAUUUGAGAGUCUGUCGCUCCAAGGAAGAACAUGCUGGCCUAAUUGUCCCCCAAGUCAGGAGAGAGAAUUGUAAAAAGCACUUAAACAGGCCUAAGUAAAAGUCCAGCACAUUAUUCAUUUAAGACUGAAUUAGGACUGAGUCAUUCCAACUGAAAAAAGAGUGUUGUUGGAUUCUUAUAUAUUCGAUGGGUCUGCCCUAUUGAAAACCAUUGUGAAGUCUGGUUUCCCAAGCAAGAAGUGACACUUUCACUGUCAGUCUUUCUAGGAAUCUGGCAGAAUCCAGGACUAGGAUUACCCUUAUUUAUGAAGCGACCUUAGACUAACAGUGGCUCUCUGGGCCUGCAGACAAUUGGCCAGGGACUCUAAAAACCAGAAACAAAGUUGAGAGAACUCCAGGCUGGUGGAGAAAAACAGCUGGCGUUUAUUACCACAAUGAGCCCCAUAGAAGCAACAAAGCAGCAAGCGAUGUUCUUAAACAAGGGCCUGUGGGCCUUGUCAAGAUCUGGAGGAGUCAUCUACAACUCACUGCUGAGUGAGAGGGCUAGGCAGUGUCUUUAAGGUCCUGCCAGCUUUAACACUGUAUGCUUUUUCUUUUGUUCAAUCUCUCACCACAACUGGAAGUGUUGCCUCAACUACACAGGAAAAGUUUGCAGUAACUUAGAGAAAACAUUAUUUUAAUCACCAGUGUAUGUUCUCCGGCUCCCUGGACAAAUCCAUCAGCAGCGGCAACACUGACCAGGUCCAGACUGGGGCCACUGCAGUGGAUGUGAAUCCAUUGAAACCAGGGGUCUCCAGUGCUCCUGA
rnacentral:antisense_RNA from 1 species